UCUGACGUGAUAUUAGUUUAAUUCAUUGUGAGAUAGAAUUGUUUAUCUUGAUAAAUAUUUAUAUUUAAUACAUUUAGUACGAAAGGAACAUUGUAAAAGUUUUAAACUUUAAAGAUUUUGAAAUCUUU
rnacentral:rRNA from 1 species